GAGGUUCCAUCGUCACAAAUCCAAAGCUUAACGAUCUCAGGGUGGCGUAAGCUCAAGUCUCUACCUGAUCAAAUUCAACACUUCACUACUUUAACGUCUUUGGAGAUAAGAUCAUUCGGCAGAGUGGAGUCUUUGCCGGAGUGGUUGGGUGACCUUACAUCUCUUACCCAACUGCGUAUUAAGAGGUGCAAGAAUCUCAUGUAUUUUCCUACAGUGGAAGCUAUGCAACGGAUCACCAAGCUACAUGUGCUAGAGAUUGAUGCAUGUCCCCAUCUAAAGGAAGCAUGCGCUGAGGAGAGCGGCAGUGAAUGGCCUAAGAUUUCCCGCAUCCCACAUAAACGAUUUCACUGAUGUGAAGAUUCUCCGGCAUUGUUAAAUGAUGUUUCGACCGAGUCGGGAUCUUAAAGUGAGGAUUUGAUUCAUACGGAGAGGCCUCAAUGAACUAGCGCAGUUGGAUAUAUAUUCAUGCUUAUCAUCUUUCAAGAGAAGUGCCUUGUUGGGUAGUCCGGAAGUUGUUCAAAAUUGAAACACAAGGUUUCUUUUGGUGAAGCAGGCAAUGGCGUUAUCCGAGAUAUUCUGCAUUUUGGGAUGUCUUGCCAUAGCUUUCUCUAAGGUUGCUUGGUGGGCAGAACUUGGAAGAAUGUUGGUCAGAUGUGGAAUGGGGAUUCUUUCUUGUGUGGUGCCUUUUUUUGUGUGGAAAUUAUACAAGUUUAUGAGGAGGUACAAGCAAAAGAGAAGAAAAAUGUACAAGUACGAAGAUUCAAAGAAUGAUGAAUGAAACGAGAAAAUAAUUUGAUCG